AUGCGUCUGUGUGCUCCCUGGGUGUAUGUGUGUAGCUCGGUUUUAUGGACACCCUCGCGUGGCCGGUACCCCAGUGUCCCAACGUGUCCCGACAUCCCCUCCCGUGGGUAUGUGCCUGGAAACCCUUUGCACACCCUUCCCUGUGUUUGUGGUCCGCGUGCCUUUGUGCGCCUGUGCUCCCCGUGCGCCUUUGAGGUCUACGUGCGUCUGGGUCCCUGCGUGUGCCCGCUCGCGCCCCCGUGUCCCCCGCGCGGGCCCCGGGAGCUGCGUCCUCACGCCCCGUGGGCAUCCCCGCGUGGGUCCCGGGGCGCCUGGCGGGAGGCCCCGGGGCACACGCGGGCGCCGCCGGACCCACCGCCCGGCACGGCGCGGGGAGGAGGGAGGGGGCGGCGGCGGCGGGGAGCGCGGGCACGUCACCGAGACAGACAGGCGGGCGGGCGGGCGGGAGGCGGCGGCCGCGGGUUCGAGCCGGCGCCGGAGCCCCGCGGCCCCCUCCCCCGGCCCGCGGCCUGGGGGGCCCCCGCCCAGCCCCGAAGCCGCCGAAAUGCAAUUUCCCGUGCAGGCGCCUCGACUCAGGGGGCUUUUCCGGGCUGGUUUGGAAAGAAGAGGGGCAACGCGGCGGCGGCCCGAAACGAGGUGAGCGCGGGCGCCGGGCAGGCGGGGGCGCCGCCCGCGGGGAGGGGGCGCGGCGGGGCGGGGCGGCGGCGGGACCCGGCUGCGGCCCCCUCGCGCACCUGCUCGCGGCCGGGGGUCGGCGCCCCGGCCUCUGCGGCCCGGCCCUCCAUUGUUGCGGAGGCUGGAGAAGGGGGGCGGGGAGGGCCCAGCGGCAUCUCUGCGUCUCGUCCUCCCGGAGAAGGGGCGCCGGGAAGGCCAGACCCCCCCAGACAGGACAGGCCCUCAAGUCCCCGAGCCUGCGCCUCGGGGGGGUGGGGGUGGGGGACGGCGGGCCGCGGUGCCCCCGCGGGGCGGGGACGCACGAUGGGGGGCGCAGGGGCAGCGGAGCACAGGCCGCCCGACACCUGA
rnacentral:lncRNA from 1 species